AGUGCCGCUGUUUGUUGAUGUUCUCUCUCUAGAUUGAGACUCCGCCCUAGAUGCACGCAGGUAAUCAGCACUCAAUUCAUUGAUAGAUUAAGGUAAUUCAUUCCAAGGGGUAUAUUAAAGUGGUGUCACCGGAGAUUGCGUGAAUGUGCGACCGCGUUCUAGCACGUCAUUAUUUUUGCGACUGUCUGGUGCUCUGGCUGAGGUUCUGGGCUGUUUGCAGAAAAGCACUCGUUGUGCUGAGGGUUGCAUGCCUGGCAACACGCGCUGGUUGCCGUAGACGACCGUUUCGGGUAUGAAUUGCAUUCAGCAUCGGGGGUGUAUUGCUGCUUGACUUCCUGCUUAUCAUGACUGUUCAUCUCUUGCCGACUGGACGAGUGGCGCGAUCUCCGCAUGUUUGGUAUGUGCCAGCAAUUGUACAAUAGUAAAUUAAUGCUAUGCAUAUUUUAGCUCAUAGUCAGGCUUUUGCAGGUGACUUGAUCUGCCGUUUUAAGGGCACUUGAAGACUACACUUACCGGCUCUAGGACUUGUCGU